AAUAAAGUACCUAUUUAAGGAUUUACAUUGAUAAAGUAAACAUGCACUCUUAUGCCUUUAUUA
rnacentral:tRNA from 1 species